AGAGUUUGAUCCUGGCUCAGGACGAACGCUGGCGGCGCGCCUAACACAUGCAAGUCGAACGAGCGAGAGAGAGCUUGCUUUCUCGAGCGAGUGGCGAACGGGUGAGUAACGCGUGAGGAACCUGCCUCAAAGAGGGGGACAACAGUUGGAAACGACUGCUAAUACCGCAUAAGCCCACGGGUCGGCAUCGACCAGAGGGAAAAGGAGCAAUCCGCUUUGAGAUGGCCUCGCGUCCGAUUAGCUAGUUGGUGAGGUAACGGCCCACCAAGGCGACGAUCGGUAGCCGGACUGAGAGGUUGAACGGCCACAUUGGGACUGAGACACGGCCCAGACUCCUACGGGAGGCAGCAGUGGGGGAUAUUGCACAAUGGGGGAAACCCUGAUGCAGCGACGCCGCGUGAGGGAAGAAGGUUUUCGGAUUGUAAACCUCUGUCUUCAGGGACGAAAAAAGACGGUACCUGAGGAAGAAGCUCCGGCUAACUACGUGCCAGCAGCCGCGGUAAUACGUAGGGAGCAAGCGUUGUCCGGAUUUACUGGGUGUAAAGGGUGCGUAGGCGGCUUUGCAAGUCAGAUGUGAAAUCUAUGGGCUCAACCCAUAAACUGCAUUUGAAACUGUAGAGCUUGAGUGAAGUAGAGGCAGGCGGAAUUCCCCGUGUAGCGGUGAAAUGCGUAGAGAUGGGGAGGAACACCAGUGGCGAAGGCGGCCUGCUGGGCUUUAACUGACGCUGAGGCACGAAAGCAUGGGUAGCAAACAGGAUUAGAUACCCUGGUAGUCCAUGCUGUAAACGAUGAAUGCUAGGUGUGGGGAGGACUGACCCUUUCCGUGCCGGAGUAAACACAAUAAGCAUUCCACCUGGGGAGUACGACCGCAAGGUUGAAACUCAAAGGAAU
rnacentral:rRNA from 1 species